CAGUAGCCGCGGUAAUACGAAGGGGGCUAGCGUUGUUCGGAUUUACUGGGCGUAAAGCGCACGUAGGCGGAUCGAUCAGUCAGGGGUGAAAUCCCAGAGCUCAACUCUGGAACUGCCUUUGAUACUGUCGAUCUGGAGUAUGGAAGAGGUGAGUGGAAUUCCGAGUGUAGAGGUGAAAUUCGUAGAUAUUCGGAGGAACACCAGUGGCGAAGGCGGCUCACUGGUCCAUUACUGACGCUGAGGUGCGAAAGCGUGGGGAGCAAACAGGAUUAGAUACCCCCGUAGUCCCUGUCUCUUAUAA
rnacentral:rRNA from 1 species